GCGGAGGGCCGGAUGGCCGCGGGGCGGGGCAACCCGCGUCGAGGAAAGUCCGGACUCCAGGAAGACAACGGUGCCGGGUAACGCCCGGGCGGGGAGACCCGACGGAAAGCGCCACAGAGAACAGACCGCCAUCCUUCGGGGUGGCAAGGGUGAAACGGUGGGGCAAGAGCCCACCGCGCCGCUGGCAACAGCGGCGGCACGGCAAGCCCCACCGGGAGCAAUGCCGAAUAGGACCCCCGCGCGGGACUGGUCCCUUCGGGGAAACCGCCGCUAGGCCCGCUUCUGCCGACGGGGGGUCGGGUUGGCAGCAUCAGGCGUCCGGUGACGGGCGUCGCAGAGGAAUGGCCAUCGAACGGCGGGGCGACCCGCCGGGAACAGAAUCCGGCUUACAGGCCCUCCGCGCAU
rnacentral:RNase_P_RNA from 1 species